rnacentral:rRNA from 1 species
UACGUAGGUGACAAGCGUUGUCCGGAUUUACUGGGCGUAAAGAGCGCGCAGGCGGUCGAUCAAGUCGAGUGUGAAAGCCCCCGGCUCAACUGGGGAGGGUCAUUCGAUACUGAUCGACUCGAAGGCAGGAGAGGGUAGUGGAAUUCCCGGUGUAGUGGUGAAAUGCGUAGAUAUCGGGAGGAACACCAGUAGCGAAGGCGACUACCUGGCCUGUUCUUGACGCUGAGGCGCGAAAGCUAGGGGAGCAAACGGG